CCUACGGGGGGCAGCAGUGAGGAAUAUUGGUCAAUGGCCGUAAGUCUGAACCAGCAAAGUAGCGUGAGGGAGGACUGCCCUAUGGGUUUUAAACUUCUUUUAUCCGGGAAUAAACCGUUCCACGUGUGGAUUUUUCAAUGUACCCCAUGAUUAAGGACCGUCUAAUUCCGUGCCAGCAGCCGCGGUAUUACGGAGGGUCCGGGCGUUAUCCGGAUUUAUUGGGUUUAAAGGGAGCGUAGGCGGAUUUUUAAGCUAGGUGUGAAAGUUUGUGGCGCAACCAUGAGAGUGCGGUGGAAACUGGAGACCUUGAGUGCAGGAGAGGCAGGCGGAAUUCGUGGUGUAGCGGUGAAAUGCUUAGAUAUCACGAAGAACUCCGAUUGCGAAGGCAGUCUGCCGCAGUGUUACUGACGCUGAGGCUCGAAAGUGUGGGUAUCGAACAGGAUUAGAUACCCUUGUAGUC
rnacentral:rRNA from 1 species